GACGAACGCUGGCGGCGUGCUUAACACAUGCAAGUCGAACGGAAAGGCCCUGCUUGCAGGGUACUCGAGUGGCGAACGGGUGAGUAACACGUGGGUGAUCUGCCCUGCACUUCGGGAUAUGCCUGGGAAACUGGGUCUAAUACCGGAGAGGAACCAUCUUUAUUGAGGUGGUUGGAAAGAUUUUUCGGUGUAGGAUGAGCUCGCGGCCUAUCAGCUUGUUGGUGGGGUAAGGGCGUACCAAGGCGGCGACGGGUAGCCGGCCUGAGAGGGUGUACGGCCACAUUGGGGGUGAGAUACGGGCCAGACUCUUACGGGGGGCAGAAGUGGGGAAUAUUGCACAAUGGGGGCAAGCCUGAUGCAGCGAAGCCGCGUGGGGGAUGAAGGCCUUCGGGUUGUAAACUCCUUUCGCUAGGGACGAAGCUUUGUUGUGACGGUACCUAGAUAAGAAGCACCGGCUAACUACGUG
rnacentral:rRNA from 1 species